CCUACGGGUGGCAGCAGUGAGGAAUAUUGGUCAAUGGGCGCGAGCCUGAAGCAGCCAAGUAGCGUGAAGGAUGACUGCCCUACGGGUUGAAAACUUCUUUUAUAAAGGAAUAAAGUGAGGAACGUGUGCCUUCUUGUAUGUACAUUAUGAAUAAGGAUCGGCUAACUCAGUGCCAGCAGCCGCGGUAAUACGGAGGAUCCGAGCGUUAUGCGGAUUUAUUGGGUUUAAAGGGAGCGGAGAUGGGUGGUUAAGUCAGUUGUGAAAGUUUGCGGCUCAACCGUAAAAUUGCAAUUGAUACUGGCAGCCUUGAGUGCAGUAGAGGUAGGCGGAAUUCGUGGUGUAGCGGUGAAAUGCUGAGAUAUCACGAAGAACUCCGAUUGCGAAGGCAGCUUACUAAACUGCCACUGACAUUGAUGCUCGAAAGUGUGGGUAUCAAACAGGAUUAGAUACCCCGGUAGUC
rnacentral:rRNA from 1 species